UUGACAUUUCUAAACAUUCUCAAGCAAGUUCACUGGAAAACUAUCCCAUGUCAGGAGCUGGUGAUGUCAAGGCUAAUAACAGUCCUGGGGUCAAAUCCUUCUGAUCCUUCAGGCAAGGACCUCAAGAUUUGGCUCCAAGUCAACAACAAGGUCUGUCACGUCAAUGAUGGCUUAUUAUGAUCCCAGCGCAAGCCUUUCCCAAACAAAGUGCUUUCGUUUGGUUUCCCAUGCAGGAAAAGGUUAGCAGUUUCCAAAGGCAGGUUCUCGCUUCCUUGUGUGGAGUGGAGAGCAAAGCCAGUGAGCUUGGAACGGGCAACAGCACUUUUUCUUAAAGCAGGAGACAGACCUUCCUUGUGAACUGAAAACGCUGGUGCUCCCCAGCUGACACACACACCCCACCAGGUGGACUCCAGCUCUGCACACUCAUCCAAGGCAAUGCACACAGAAUAAGCACAAGGCAAUAAGCACUGCAGAUAUACCCAAUUUCCUAAAGCCACCAUCUGCUGUAAACCUGCCCUGCAGCAUAGUCACCAUUCUGGAAGGAGAAACACAGGAGAACUUGAAGCUCUUGGAGUGAAACAGUGCAAAGCACCUGCACGAGGUGCCAGUGGUCACCUGUGAAGCAGCUCCCUUGGAGUCACCACGUGUUGCCAUCACCAGACAGUGACAUCUCCCAUCUUUGGAGCAGGCUUGGCUGUGGAUCCAGAAGAGGGCAAUGGUGACACAUCCUCACCGAGGCUCCGAGCACCAAACCCACUGAGGGCAGCCACUGCAGGAGUGGAGCCAACAGCCAGACCACCUUGGCUAGUGGAUCUGCCUGUUCCUGGCUGUUUCGUGGCAAGCAGAUUGAAGUGGGAGGCAGCUUUCAGCUACUGUCUCAGGUCAGAUGGGACUGUCAGUCAAUUGUUAAUUAUGACUCUUCUUCUUACUAAUUUCUCUAACUUCUAUCACCAUGGCAGCUAACUGCCAUGGAAAGACUCAGACAGAAAAAAGAGAAGACAACCAAACUUUUCAUAGCAAGGGAACAGGAAUGAGCUACAGAGGAAAGGGGGUGGAGGAAGAGAUCUGUAAAUUGUUUUCCAGGAGAGUCUAACACAAUGUUCUGAAUCCUAAAAUGGCUUUUGUUGAAGGAACCUUAAAGAUCAUCCUGUUCCAACCUCCCUUCCACAGGCAGGUACACCUCCCACUAGACCAGGUGGCUCCAAGCCCUGUCCAAACUGGCCUUGGGCACUUCCAGGGAUGGGGCAGCCACAGCUUCUCUGGGCACACUGUGCCAGGGCCUCAGCACCCUCACAGGGAAUAAUUUAUUCACAAUAUCCCAUCUAACCCUGCCCUCUGUCAGUUUGAAGUCAUUCCCUUUUUUCCUAUUAUCACAUCUGCUCUGCCCUGACCUGGUCAGUCGAUCAGUUUUAAUCUUUGGUGAUGGCUGUGUGUCCAGAAAGGGCAAGGGGAGGAAAAAUUUGACAGCACUUUGAGCCCUGAUUAAUUUUUAAACUUCCUCCCUUUCUGCUUAUUUUGUAGCUUUUGUCCUGGUGCUGAAUGUGUUCUUUUCCCCUUGUGUGUCACUUCCAGAGGAAUACUGUGGAGAUGAAAUGCCAGUUGGUCAUCACAGGGCAUUUCACCUGUGGGGGCUGGAUGGAAACUCACGGGCUGGGGCCACACAGGGCCCAGGGACAAGUGGUGACUUCUGUCACUGCAGCAGCUCUCAGGAGCACGGUGACACAGAGCCUGAGUGCAUCAGUAGCAUGGGCAGAGCAGGUUGUGUGGGAUCAAUAAAACAAUGGCCAUUUUGUUGCUGUUUUGCAGCAACACCACGUAGUGCUUGCUGAAAUCACUGGCUGGUCCAUUCAGCAACUUUCAUUUCUGAUUAAGCUUUCCAGCCAGUAGGUAUCUUCUCUCACACCUGUCUUACCAUUUCCAUUUACAAGGGCUUAAUUUAGAAACCCAUUGUACUUGGGCCAGCACAGACCAAGCUAAUUUAUUUUACAUAACGCCUCAGCACUUUAGGAAUCAGUCUUGUUUUAAGUCCAUCCUGGAGGGAAGGAUGGACUUCUGCUUCAGGUUUUGGAUUGAGUUUUGAGAGAAACAGACCCUGUUCUGACAGUGUUCACAGAUUCCCCUAGACCUUUCCCAAAUCACUUACCCUGCUUUGAACCUAACCUUUGAGUCUGGAAAAUAAUCAAUGUGACACUUUCCUUAGCUCUGGUUUUAGGAUAAACAUAAUGUCUAGAUGGCAUCAAAGCCCUUGUGUUCUGUGCUUUAGAAGCAGAAUAAAAAGCUGAUUUCUGUGCUGGGGGACUCUGGUGCAAGACGAGGACAACGGGCAGGUGCAAGUCUGCUGAGAAGGAAUGCAACAAGGCAGAGCUGACAGGCAAAUAGACCUGGGCAUUGCUGCUGCCAGCUUCUCCAUGGGCAUCUCACCAGGGAUGGGAGCGAAUCCGUCCGUGGGCGGGCGCAGGAAGCGAGGGAGAGGCCUGGGAAUCCUGGUGGGUGAUCUUCCAGCAAACCUGGGCCGCAGGAGGCACAAACAGCCCCCUCCUCCUUGGCACAGGACUCAGCUGGCAAGAUCUGAUCUUUUUGUUCACUUGAGGCUUUUGUUUUUUCACUAAAUGCCCCCGGACUUUGCUUUUCAAGUCUCUUCCUUCUCUGUCGUUGUCACUGACACAGCAACAGGUGAGUUGGAGAAGUUACACGUGGGGAUGAUGAGUUGCACUGAGGAAAUGACUCAAACCCUUUGCAGACCCCCUUGGAGCCAGUAGAUCUGAAGACAGAUGCCCUCCAUCCACAGAGCUGCGAGCAUGGAUGAACCAUCCAGUGCCCUCCAGAGCUCUCAUCACCACCAGUCGAGCUCUUCCCCACCAAACAGCAGUGGAGGAAGCUCCAGAAGCGUCGCUUCUUUAUUUCAGUGCUGCCACACUCACUGACGUCCUCGCUGAGCCUCUUGCAGCAGCAGGCUGCUAAUCAGAAACUCUGCUGCUGCUGCUCAUCAAAACCUCUUUGCUCGCCACUUUGGCAUCAUUCUGGGAAGCCAACAGAGCGCGGAGAUGCUCAAUUCCUCCCCCUCCACACACCUUCCAUUGUCUUCAGGACUGACAGCUCUGAUGUGGAGCAGUGAUAAAAGCCAGCUGAUGCUGUCAGGGCCUGGUACAAUUGCACUGCAGGGAAAAAGGCGACUGGCUCUGAGUCAUCGGAGCCGCCUGGAGCUCAGGAUGCCUGGCACACGUGCUGUCUCCUGGCACGGCUCAGCACACAGCAGUGCACCUCUGGAUGCUCCCCUCUGAGGAGGGCUUGACCAGAGGGCUUGAGAAAAGCCAGGGCUGGUGGCCAAAUGCAUGGCCAGCCAUCCUUUGAGGUGACAGAAAAACGUACAGAGGUUUAAAAAAAUGACUUUUUUUGUAGAAUCAUAGAAUAUCCUGAGUUGGAAGGGACUCACAAGGAUCAUCAGUCCAAGUCUUGGCCCUGCAGAGACACUCCAACAAUCCCACCCUGUCCCUGAGAGCAGUGUCCAAACCCUCCUGGAGCUCUGGCAGCCUUGGGGCUGUGACCAUUCCCUGGGGAGUCUGGGCAGUGCCCACCACCCUCUGGGGGAAAAACUUUUCACUGAUCUCCAGCCUCAACUUCUCUGACACAGCUCCAGCCAUUCCCUGGGUCCUGUCCCUGCUCCCAGAGAGCAGAGAUUGGAACUGCCCCUGUGCUGCCUCUUGGGAGGAGCUGCAGCCCCAGAUGAGAUCUGACCUCUGCUGAAGCCUUUGGUGUGUAAGGAGCAGUAGAGGUGCUUGGUUGGCUGUUCCUGUACCUGACCUGUGUUCAGGGGUGUUUACCAAAGCAUUUGUGCAACCCCUGAGUGGCAAUCUAGGAAGUAACACCUCUCCUUCAGCUCCUCACAUUCCUUCCCAUCCUAUGGAACGGGCUGAGUUGUGGUUGAAUUUCUGGAAGGCUCUAAAUGAGAGGGAUCCAGACCUGAAAAUGCAUCAGCAGUGCCAAGCCAAGCCAGGAAGGACAUUCAAAUAGGGGAAAUUGGACUGUGAUGUGAACUUCUCAGUGACCUUGAGUAAACUGGCUCAGUGCUGCCCAACCUGCCCAGGUCAGCAGCUGAAAUUUCCAUUACUGAAAGUAGAAACUCAGGGGUCAUUUCUGUUUUCAUUUCUCACUUUUUCCCAAACAUGACAUUGAAUGAGAGGCAUUAGGAGUUCCUCCUAUAAAUAGGAUCACCCCUGUCAAAGCUGGUUAAGUCAUAGCCAGUGUCAAGCCCAUAAACAAGGUGCCUCUCAUGCACUGUCUGGAGGGGGCAGAGGGGCUAAAGGGAAGUGUGACAGCUCACUGUUUGACCACUUUGCAUGGGGACCUUGCUGUUUGCAAGGCAGCAAACCUAAUCAUCCCCAGCUCCCAUCUGGAGGAUUUUUGGAAGUGGUGCAGAGGCAGAUAGUUGAGGACCACUGCUCUCUGUUGCAGGAGAAGUGAACUCUUCCAGCUCCCAGCCUCACAGGUGCUGGGCCCUCCAUGGCUGCUGUCAUGGCAGGGGUUAAACACCCUGAUUUCCUCUCUUCCUUCACGGUUUUUCCCCAGUUCUGCCCUGGAAGUCUGGGAUGACCUGGAAACCCUGCACUCCCACUUGUCUCUGUUUCCCCUGGAGGGAGCUGCAGUUUCCUCCUCCUUUGGAGCUCCCCAGUUCCUCUUCAUCUCCAGGAGAAGCAGCAGUUCCAGUGACAUCCGUGACAAAGCAGCCUUGCCACGUGGCAAGUCAGCUGGGGCAUGGCAGUGAAGCCAGAGACACAAAGCAAAGGAGGGAAACAAGGGAGCUGUAAGUGUCCCCCCGUGCCAGCUGCAGGGACAUCUGCAUGGAGCUGCCUUGGCAGAGCUGCAGGGUCACCAGGGCUGUGCGUGGCCGUGGUGGCUCCAGAGCAGAGAACUCAGGACAGCAGGAGCUGAUGGA